rnacentral:rRNA from 1 species
GGCAGCAGCUAAGAAUAUUCCGCAAUGGACGAAAGUCUGACGGAGCGACACCGCGUGAAUGAUGAAGGCCGUAAGGUUGUAAAAUUCUUUUCUGUUGGAGGAAUAAGCUUUCGAGGGAAUGCGAGAGUGAUGACGUUAAAACAGGAAUAAGCCCCGGCUAACUACGUGCCAGCAGCCGCGGUAAUACGUAGGGGGCGAGCGUUGUUCGGAAUUAUUGGGCGUAAAGGGUGUGCAGGCGGUUUAGCAAGUCUGGUGUGAAACGGUUAGGCUUAACCUAAUCUUGCGUUGGAAACUGUUGAACUAGAAUAUAAGAGGGGCUGUUGGAAUUCCUGGUGUAGGGGUGAAAUCUGUAGAUAUCAGGAGGAACAUCUAAGGCGAAGGCAGGCAGCUGGCUAUACAUUGACGCUGAGGCACGAAGGUGCGGGGAGCAAACAGGUUUAGAUAUCCUGGUAGUCCGCACAGUAAACUAUGUACACUAGGUGUUGGGUGUUAUGGCAUUCAGUACCGAAGCAAACGCGUUAAGUGUACCGCCUGGGGAGUAUGCUCGCAAGAGUGAAACUCAAAGGAAUUGACGG